ensembl:lncRNA
UGCCAAUAUAGUGAAGAGUCAGAUAAACCAUCAUAUUACUUUUGAAAGUGAACAAUAAGUUGGUUUUGUGGUGCUUGUAGUAUGAGCGCAGAUGAGAAAAGUGCCUGUCAGCUUCAGGGAUUGUUAGCGUGUGUGUGCUGUUGUCAUUCUGUUUUUUUUUUUUUUCACAUUCUGUCUCUCACAGUUGAAGUGUACCUCUGGUGCAAAUUACUGACCUCUGUCAUCAUUUUAAGUGGGGGAACUUGCACAAUCGGUGGCUGACUAAAUACUUUUUUGCCCCACUGUACAUCACAAAUUCCAUAGACAAAAAGCAAUAUGUGGCUGGGUUAUUCAUAGACUUGACAAAGGCCUUUGACACUACAGAUCAUGAUAUGUUAAUAAGAAAACUGGAACUUUAUGGUAACUGCAGAGCUCACGUAAGAUAUAUUCAUUCCAAAGUAUCACGUAGCAUUGCAAUACUAAACAAGGCAAAGCAGGUAUUCGACAGAACAUCACUUCAUAUUCUCUACUGUUCACUGGUUUCACCAUACUUAAGCUAUUGUGCAGAGGUCUGGGGCAACAACUAUAAAACCACAUUACAUUCAUUUUUUACUCUUCAAAAAAAAAAGCAAUUCGAAUCAUCCACAAUGCAGGUUACAGGAACAUACAAACUCACUAUUUUUGCAGUCUGAAAUAUUGAAAAUUGAUGAUCUAGUGAAAUUCCAAACAGCACAAAUUCUAUUCAAAGCAAAAAAUAAAGAACUGCCAGGUAAUAUUCAGAGUAUGUUUUUUCUGAAAGAAGGAAGUUAUAAUUUAAGGGGUUUUUGUAACUUCAAAACAAUGAAGGUACGUACUACAAGAAAAGGCUUUUGUGUUUCUGUUCAUGGAGUGAAACUGUGGAACAGUCUGAAUAUGGAGUUAAAGCAAUGUCCAAACAUAAAACAGUUCAAAAAGAGUUAUAAAAAUAUGAUCUUCUCGAACUAUAAAGAAAACAAAAAUAUUUAAAUUAAGUGAAUGUCUCUAUUUAAAAAACAAACAAACAAACAAAAAAACCCUCAUGAUGCGAUAUUAUAGUAUAUAGUAUAUCAGAAAUCUGUUCACUAUUUUCAUUACAAAUUAUAUCAGUAAGGAAGCUGACUAAAUAUUAACUGUUAAUUUAUGGCAAAGGGGUGGGAGUGUUUACUUCUUCCCACUCCCUUUCAACAUGUAAAUUAAUCAGAACGUUUUUUUUUUGUAUGUAAUUUGUAUAGUAUUUUUUCUUUCUUAUUUUCUUUUCUAAAUGUACUUGUAUAUUGUUCACAUGUUGAAAUAAAUUACCAAUCAA